CAGGUUUAAAGGGCACUGCGCAUGCGCCUCCUUCCUUACACUGCUCUGUGUGUGUGAAUGGGUCGCGGUGGUAGAUAAAGAACCAAAACACACACUCUGACUCUUUAAAUCCGGUUCCGUUAAAACCGAGAUCACUUCACGAACCCUUUAAACAUCCUGAAAUCACUAGACCGGAAGUGAGGGAUUCUGUGGAAACCGGUAGUUCUUUCACAGACCGUCUACUCCACUCUAGCAGGACUGGAGACAGGCUCCACAGCAGCAACAACAUGAUGGUGAGGCACUUGUACUUUUUGAAGAAUAAGGAUUUUUUUCCCUUUGGUUACAUUAAUCAAUUUAUAUGGUUAAUUAAUCAAUUAUGAAUAGAUAAUAUUUAUGAAGUUCUGCAUAUGAAUUUGUUGGUAAGACUACAAAAUAAUUAUUUAGCUUAAUGGUUAUGUAUUAGCUUGGUAUGUUUGGAAAUAAAAUGACAAUGCUGAUGAAUAAAUGCUAUAAAUAUG
ensembl:lncRNA